rnacentral:rRNA from 1 species
AUUCCUACGGGGGGCAGCAGUGGGGGAUAUUGCACAAUGGGGGAAACCCUGAUGCAGCAACGCCGCGUGAAGGAAGAAGGUCUUCGGAUUGUAAACUUUUGUCUUGUGGGAAGAUAAUGACGGUACCACAGGAGGAAGCUCCGGCUAACUACGUGCCAGCAGCCGCGGUAAUACGUAGGGAGCGAGCGUUGUCCGGAUUUACUGGGUGUAAAGGGAGCGUAGACGGUGAGACAAGUCUGAGGUGAAAGCCCGGGGCUCAACCCCGGGACUGCUUUGGAAACUGCCUGACUGGAGUGCUGGAGAGG